rnacentral:misc_RNA from 1 species
AAAACCAUCCCAUAAAGCCAUGAACUCAGUUUUCAUGCUAGUCAGCAUUUCAUUCUCUGUUGAACGACGCUGGCCCAAAAAACUGUCAACUUCAUCAAUGAAUAUUAUAGCUGGCUGGAGCUUGUAGGCCAAGCUAAAAACAGCAGCAACGAGCUUUUGGGCGUCACCAAACCACUUGCUCAUUAGAGUAGAAACUUUGACAUUUAUGAACACAGCACCAGACUCUUUGGCAAUGGCUUUAGCAAGCAUCGUCUUCCCUGUCCCAGGUGGUCCAUACAAUAGAACCCCUUUCAUUGGACCAAGCAAUUUUCCAUGACAAAACAAUUCCGGCCUUCGCAGAGGUAAAAUGGCCAGCUGAAACAAAGUUUCCUUAAUAC